AAGGCAUAAAGGGCUUUUGAGAUGGAAAUGUUUGAGGAUCAGUGGCCUAUGUGAUUAACUCCGAGACCCCUAGAAUGCUUUCAAGACAUGGACCCUACCUGACACUCCAUUCUCUCCUGACACUCCUUGCUUAAACUACGCCCUAUUGCAAGUGGGUGAUCUGGUGACUGCAGAAAUUCCUCCUUACAAGCCUGAGCAUUCAGCAGUGCUCGGAGUAUUGGCUGCUGAUGAAUCUCAGGUAAAUACUUUUCCAGGAAUCCUUCUAUCAUAAAGGGAUGCCUUGCCUCAGGUUAUAUACCCUGUCUUGGGGCAGCCCAUAUCCACUGACUGCUCAGUGGAAGGUACAAAGGUCUGGACCAGAGUCAAUUUGGGAUAACUCUGAAGGACCAUCCCAGAUCCACUGGGAUUGCCUGAGACCUCUGUUGCAACUGCUUCUCAGCUGAACACUCCCCUCUGCCUGACCCCGCUCCUUCACUCUGUUAGAGGUGAUAUGCCCAGAGCUGAUGGGUGAAACUCCUUCUUGCGCACUUCUGCCUCAGAGUCAAUUUCCCAAGAGCCAGAACUAAGAGUCCUUGUGACAUUGAAAUGUUUUUCAUUUACUGGACAUCUCAUGUUCUUUUAUUCCUCAUUUUGUUUCCUUUGCCUGGAUAUAUUCUUUUACCUGGACGUCUAGAUAAUAUCUCAAGACGUGUCUCAAAUCUAUCUCACACGGAACAUCUUUCUGGACAGCUGCAUGUGCCACAUUUGCACUUCCAUAGCAUACUGUUCCCCACUCUGUGGGGGUUCCCCACCGUAUUAUAUUGAAGUCAUUUGUUUCUUCAACUAGAUUGGAGGUUACCAGUGCUCAGGGUUUAUGUCUAAUUCACGGUUGGUAAUUCAUAUGACCUUGAUUGGAAGAGACACUCAAUAUUUCUAAGCCUUGGAGAGUGGAGUCCAGAUUCUUCAUUUCUAUGAUCCAUUUAAAGUUAGUAAAGAUGCCUUGGGUGGCCCACCAGUUGCUGGUGGUUACAAAGAUGUGUUGCAUUUAAGGAACAUUUGGGCUGCUCUGAACCAGGAGAUGACUUCCUUGAAUAGGUCAAGGUUCCCCAAACCUACAAGAAACUAUUGAGCCUGGUCCAUUGUGCACUGAGACCAGACUUGUGCAUAUGAUGAAUAUCUGCUGAUAGAUGAAAACUCCCUGAGGAAGAGAUGUUUGCGUCUUGUGGGGAUAUGGGUAUUUGAAGGCAUCAAAUUCAAUAAAAGCAAUAUUCAAGAGCCUCAGGAAGCCUCACCUUAGGAAUCCCGAGAUGACCAGAAAGCUGUCCGUGGAGAGCUCAGAAGUUGCCGUAUGAUGGCAGUACCUAGUAACACAUGUUGUUUUCCUAAUAGUGAGCCGUCUACCUCUGACUCCCUGCAUCUGCUGUGAUAUCUGCCCUCCUGAUGGCCUCUGAUGAUUCUUGCUCCUCCUAUUCACUACCUUGUGCUUUCCCCUGCCUCAUUAAAAAGUACUAAUAUAUGUAACCAAUAGAAUAAUAUCAUGUAAACGAUGAGUCUGAUUUCCAAGGCAAGGUCAUAGAAGUAAUUUGAUUAUGGUUUCUGCCUUCCUGUCUCUUGGAUAACUUGUUCUGGAGGAAACAAACCACUGUGAUGUAAGGCUAUGCAAGCAGUUCUGUACUGAGGUCCACAAGGCAAGAAACUGAGACCCCACCCCCACCCCCCAACUGCCAACAGUCAAUGUUGCAUUGCUGGUCAGUUUAGUGAGCCAUUGUGGAAGUGAAUUCAUUAGUUCUAGUCAAGCCUUCAGAAUGCCUUGACCCCAGCCAACUUCUUGACUGAAUCGUCUGAAUCCUCAGACACCCUGAGCCAUAUUCAUUCAGCUAAGUCACUCUUGAAUUUCUAAGUUUUAAGAUAGUUUUCCACAGAGCAAUGGAAAACUAGUACAUUUGUUCAGUGAAAAAAGUGAAACAUCUCCAUCAUGUGCUUUAGAUUCACACACAAACAAAAAUACUGAUCCAUCUAAUACAAUGUCAUGUAUUUUGUGAAGUGCUUCAAAAUAAAUUAUUUUGUUCACUUUUUAUGGUAACUCUAUUACAGAUACAUAAUAGCCUUAUUUUUACAUAGUAGAAAGCUAAGGCUCAUGUAUAAAGUGCAGAAGUUAGAAUUUGCACCCAGUUCUCACUAACCAGAAAGCCCAUGUUCUACUUGCUUGGGUGCAGUUUUAAAGAACAGAUGAAGCCAGAAGAACCAUAGCAGAGGCUGUGGUGCUCAGCCGAGAUAACACUAGAUUUUUACUUUCCUGUGCUGGUACAACCAAUUACAUUAUACCUUGAUUAAAAACAUGACAUUGCUGCAUAAUCUAUUUUCUGUUAUGUUUCAUCUUGUUUUUCCAGAAUUCUUUUUUAGAUGUAAUAUCAAGCAGAAAAAAAUAUUGAAUCUGGGUUCAUGAGAAGGUAGGUUUUGUGGAAAUCAGUAUGAAAACUAUUCUUACCUAUUUUAUCUGGGCAUUUAGACAGGUAUAAUCUUCAUGUCUUUAUAUGAUCAUUAAGUCACAUUCAGCAGACCUUGCAGACAUCUAUAUACCUGACUGUAGUAUUGCAUCAAAGCAAAUAAAAACUGCAUUUGGGAUAAGCCAUAUUUCACAUUUGCUACUGCACCCCAACACCUAAGUCUGCAGACGUCGUAAAGAGUUCAUAAGCAGAUGUUGACUGUUAUAGCACAUGAUAGGCGAGCAGCUUUAUAAAACAGACUUCCACCUUCCAACCAAGAGAAAGACUAUAAUAUUUACAUAUAUAUUUUCUGCUACAUAAAAAGAAAUGCAAGAACCUGAAACAAAUAAUUCAAACAUGAACACAGUUCUUUAUGGGGCUUUUGCUUUCUAUUUCAUCCCAUAUGAACUUCCUUGUUUUCCUGUUUACUACCUGUUAAUAUUUAGCUGUGCUGUGUAGAAUUAUUGCUCUGGAGUAAAAUAAAAUAUUUCACAUAGAAGUAUGUAGCAGGUAGAAUUUAAAUAAAUUGUUACCUCACAAAUAAAUUAUACUUGCCUGCUAUGUGACACUUGAUAAUUAUGUAGUUAUAAAUACAAACUUCAGUGUUUUCAAUUAGGUUAAAGUAGGGAAAUAAGUAUAUUUUAGAUUGAAUGCUUAAGUGUUUUACAUUCUAAUUGUUCUUCUACUCUUUUCCUCCAGUGUCAAAUUCUAUUUGGAGUACAGGGAUUUUUUUUUUCCAUUGAGAAGAGAAUAAAACAGAUAUGUUUGGUUUAAUAUUUCAUUUCAAAUAACUAAUAAUGGUAUCAUUGUAUAUGAUAAUGAUAAUGUGAUUCUGCUCUCUUUGAGGGACAUCAGCUCAUUGAAUUUUCUGCAUAACUAGGACCAAGAGGAUCCCAUUGACUAAGAACAUCUGCUUCUUGUGACUAGAUAGAAUUCACAUGUGUUGGAAGAGAAACUAUCCACAUGGCAGGCACAGAGAAGUGGUGGAAUCCCUGCUAAUGAAAUACUCCUGGCCUUUCUCUACCUCACUUGCUCAAAGGUGGAAUGGUUGGAUUUGUAGAGUGAAAUAGACACCAGCAUUGUACCAUAUGUAUUUCCAUUACACUAGAAAUUGGAAAUCUGCUGUAAACUCAUCACCUCAUUAGCCUGCCAGUUUCACUUAGUAAGCAGGUAACAAGAAGUCCAAGUCAAAGAUUCAAAAUAGGAUUGUUUUAUUCCACAGAUGGAAAAAUGACAGAGGCCCAGGCUCAUAGAAGAUUGUUCAUUCGGACAGUGGAAAGCAUACUUCAAGGACUGAUCGGAUAACAUAAAGCAUGAUCACAGACAGAGCAGAGGCCCUGUGCGAUGCUUGAAAACACUUGGUGAAGUACCCACAUGACCCUGCCCCUCCCAGCCUUCCUUCAGAGGGCAAGUGCUUCCGAGGGCCAAGGGGAGGAGGAAAGCUCUCUGCAUUUCCAUGGAGCACUGAUGAACACUUCUUACUGGGUUUUUUAAACUUACAUUAUUCAAAUGCUACUUUUUGCUAUAAAGCCACAUUUCGUUCAUGUGACACAAUGCGCUGCCUGAAAAAUGGCAUGAUCCUACAGUGAAAUUAUCAAAUUCCUCACCCUCUUCUUUAGCAAUCAUUAGGAAAUCAUCUAUUCAUCAGAUUAUGGGAGAAAUGGAAGAAAUAAAAAAUGAUGAAAAAAUGCAGAGGGAAAUGUUGUUUAUCUCUUUGAGAUGGAAAAUAUGAGACCAUGUGGAUUUCACAAGACUAUUCUAUUUUUACCAGACCUGGUUCUUUAGACAUCUUGCAGGCAAUACUCUCUUCUCUGGUCCCCACAACGCACAUUUCCAAGGCCAUCUCCUCAGUAUUUUAAAUAGGUAAUUUUCUUUCUUAAACCACCAGGAAGGUUUCCAGUUCCCUCCUGAAUCAAGUUAAAAUCUUCUGAUUA